CCACAAUGGACGAAAGUCUGAUGGAGCGACGCCGCGUGCGGGAUGAAGGCCUUAUGGGUUGUAAACCGCUGUCAGGGGGGGAAGAACAUCGGAAUGAACAAUACUCAUUCCGACUGACCGUUACCCCCAGAGGAAGCUCCGGCCAACUCCGUGCCAGCAGCCGCGGUAAUACGGGGGGAGCAAGCGUUGUCCGGAAUUAUUGGGCGUAAAGGGCGUGUAGGCGGCGAGGUAAGUCGAAUGUG
rnacentral:rRNA from 1 species